CGAUGGGUGUCCAAAUCAGAUUUGGAUUGGGGAUGGUAGCGGCGACAUGCGCUGUCGGAUUGAUCCUUGGCGGUGGCUACAAGAUUGUAGUAGCAGCUGAUGUUAAUCCGCUCAAGAAAUUGAUUAUAAGGAUGAGUUCUUGGCGGUGCUUUGUUUGACUGACAGACGCAAGGCUUGACGACCACGUCAAGUUCAAUUGACGGUGAUGAACCCGUCACCUUCAGUUGGCGGAUGCGACCCCGACAAGUUCGGCGACCUGGUCAUUGGUCAAGUUCAGUUGACGGUAACGAACCCGUCACCUUCAGUUGGCGGAUGCGACCCCGACAAGUUCGGUGACGACGUCAAGUUUGGUUGACGGUAACGAGUCUUGUAGCGGAAUUUGUCUGCCGUCAUCCCUUAUGAACGAGACGAAACUUGGCAGUCCAAGACUUGGCUGUGCGCAACUUAGAGCUUGGCGGUUGGCGGAGUGUGUGUGGCGGUAUGUCCUUUUGGCGGAC
rnacentral:lncRNA from 1 species